rnacentral:lncRNA from 1 species
AUUCUGGAAGGUUCUGAGCUGCCCUGACACAUGCAGACACGGGGUGUGCAAGUCUGAGGUUAUCUCUGGUGUUCCGCUGUGAUGAGACAGCCACUCCUGCGGGGCUCCAGCGGAAGGACUGUACAGAUGCUGGCGAGUACCAUCUACAUCCCAUCUUUCUCCUUUCUGCCUUUCCCUGUGGCUCAGAAACCUUUACCCCCAAUGCACCCCUGCUUUUUCUAUCUACCACGGCAAGUGAGUCGGACACAGUGAGCAGCUUCUGGCCAGCUGAUGGUCUAGAGGAAGCCGUCUGGCACAGGUAUCUGAGAAACUGAGUUCUGUAGCUCAGAAUCAGUGCAUCCCACUGUUGCUGCUUCCUUGCUGUUCAAAGCCUUCCUGUGGGCAGCCAUGUGUGCCACGAUCACCACCAUGCCUUCAGCCACAUGGUUCGCCUGCUGAACCUAUCGGACUCUAGCUGGGGUGCAGCACACAUGACCCAGCAGAUGGGGUCAUUCCAGCCCUCAGCCCUGAGGAGGAGCUUCUCUUGCUUGAUGGCUCACCAGGCUCUUAGAAGGCAAAACCAGUUCUAACCAGCAGGAGUCUGGAGCUGCCUGUCUUCCUGAUGCCUCUCUUGUCCAGUGACUGACAUGGCGAUGGGACUCUGUGGACCUGUGGAUCACUGCUUGGGAGGUGGAGGACAUGACUUCCAACUUCACAGACACUACCCUGCUUUGACUCCAAGUUUGUCUAUCACCAUGACAAGUACAGAUGUGGUCUAUGAGUAAUUUUAAAGACAACCGCCAUGAAGACCAGGAAGGAGAGAGCUGACUCUACAGACAGGAGCUGCAUGGGAUGAGAAGUGGAAUUCCAGGUGUGUGUGGAGGACAGCAUCUGACCUUGACCUUGAAAGGACCCAUAAAGGGUUUUGAGAAUGGAACAUUACUAUGACUGAUUUCUUUAAAAACAAACACACAAACAAACGAAUGAAUACAAUAGUGAUACAGAGUUAGAAGACUGGGCGAUGAUACCAACCCUUGGCUUUGGUUGGCAUAGGUGUGCCAAUCAACCUGGUCUCACCACUACCUAGAUGUACAUUCCACCAUUCCACUUGAUAGGUCAUCCCACUUGACUCUUUUCUUCCCUUUUAAUGGAAUAUGGAAUUCUAAGAGUGAGUAGCAUGCACACCUCUCCCUGUUUCCCUCUGUGGAUUAGUGCUGUGUUGAGGACGUUGGCUCAGAAUGCACUGUGGACCAGUGACUUGCUCACACACUCACCUUUAAAAAUGGGCCCUGCUUCACGUCAGGUUAGCAGUAGGUAUGUAGACAUAAGAUUUACUGGGCCCCAUGACCAUAUCUGAAGGACCUGUAUCAUUGCUGCCCUCUUCUUGAGAGCCCCUGCUACAUGCGAUGCGAUUGCUAUCGAUACACAAGGAGCCCAUGGUAUUGCAGCUUCAUUGAAAUCUUCAUGCUGUGAAAUCUAAUUUGUCCAAUACCCGGAUCCAUCACUCACACCAGCCCUUUCUCAACUGCUAUAAAACUUCCAAACCCAUAGAUUUGUCUCCAACAAAAAUAACAUGAAGGAGCCUUGCAAUCAAUAAUGGAAUCCCUCUGAUUCUGAUACUGGCUGAGUAUUUUUUUUCCAACUUUGCCUUUGUUCUUCUGGGCAGAGCCCACAAGGGAGAAAGCUUGUUUUCACUCGCAGCCUCAUCAAUACCUAAAUCCUGGUGAACAAGUGACACCGAGAAGUUGUAAUCAAUAGCUCCCGGUGCGGUUUUUUCUUCUGGUCAAAUGGUUCAGCUCCGCUGACAACCCUGACACUCAGAACAUGAUGCUAAAUCUUUAUCAACAGCCAUCUGGGUGAAUGGCAGAACAGGACUCAGGGGUCAACGGUGCUCAUGGCAAUCUGCGAAUAAACUAACUCCUUAG